UUGCCUUGCCUUGGUUUGUAUUAUUAAUAACAGUUGCAAAUGGCAAUAGCAAUGCUCUGAAAGCGUUGAGACGGUUUCAUAACAUAUUCGAAUAACAGUUCUAAAAUUGUGUGAAAUAAUUUGGUAUGUGUAUUGAAAACCGUGGUCGACGUUAUAUUAUGUGAAGCAGACCAGUGCUUUCAAUAUUUUCAAAAUGAACUACAUUAAGUUUUUAUGGUUAUUCGGUUUGUGUACCGUUCAUGCAACGACGAUUGCCACACACUGGAUGGUUACUGAAACGGGACUGAUACAACCUCGAGCUGACUCUCCAUUCAUAAUGGAACAUCCCAAUGAUCUAUUAGCAUUCUUAAAUCAAGACACGAGAUGGGAUAACAUCCACAACCUGUAUUAUGAUUUAUAUAACCGCCAACAAAUCAUUGAUCAGCUUUGGCUUGACAUUGAAAAGGGUACUGAAGUGACAACUAUACUCACUUCCAAUCAACACUGUGUUAGAGUGGGACAGCUGAAUAUUAUAGAUUGGUAUACAUCAUUCUUAGAAGAUGGCAAAUCGAAAGGAGUACCCGAUGAGGAUUUUUUACUUAGAGAGACUGAUUAUGGAGAUACCGAUGUACCUGAUUGUAAAAAGAUAUCUUCAUUGACAUUUAGCAUGUUUGCCUUUGAGCAUUUAGAGGGUUUGAAUCAAAGAGAGAAUUUAUCAAUUGAUCCUGAACUGUCACUCCCAGAACAAAUAACUCCCAUUAUGACUGUUGAUCCAUUUGGUCACUGGCUUGCAGCAAUGCUAAGGCGGAAUAACUCUUCCUGGCUUCAUUAUAACAUGGCUUCUCUAUAUUGGAGAGUAAAAGGAAAUGCACCUAAAGCUAUGGAGUGCAGCAGAAGAGCUGUUCAUUAUGCUCCUAGAAAGUAUAAAGACAUAGCUUUAUUGAGCAUGGGUACAAUACUUCACCGCAGCAAAAGGACCGAAGAUGCUAUAGUAGUUCUCAGAGCAGCUACUGAUCACGAUCCGACAUUCACAUACAAUCAUUUCUCUCUAGCCAAUGCCUAUGCUGUGUUCGGUGACUUCAAUAGUUCCUUAAAACAUUUCGCUGAGUGUCUCAAACUGAAUCCUACUUUUGAAUUGGCAGUGCGACAUAAAAUUGCAGUUUUAUGUCACCUUUAUGUGUCUGAUACAAUUGAAGAGUUAAAGGAAACCCUGCAAAAACUCCGCCAAGAGCUAACAGAAUAUGCAAGAAGAGAGAGUGAAUGGCUGAAAAGUCAAGCUGCGUUUUUGAGGACAAUGAAACAUGAAGAAGAAUUUGAUUACCGAAAUAUAGACAAUAAUUGUAAAAAGAUGACCAAUAUAACUGGUUUAAAAAUAAAAGAACUGAAACUACAAGGAGACAGAAACUCAUUGCUCCAAUAUUUCUUGGACAGUCCGAUGUACAAUGAUCAAUGGUUGAAGGAGAAAGGUGUACUCGCAAUAGAAUCGGCCGGGAAUCUCCAGAAACUGGUCAAACACAUCCGGCAGAAUUCGCCGAAGGAAGCAACACUGAAAAUCCGACCAGAGAAACUGAAAGUAGCUGAAGUGGAAGUAUUAAAAGAGAUUGGUCCAACACCUAUAUUCCCUGAUAUUUAUACAGAUAUGAAAGAAAAGACACUGAUUGAAGUUUUGGCUGCGGCAGAAUUUCGAAAGAACAACGAAAGAAAACCAGGUCAGAAUAAAAAAGAAAGUGAAACUUCUCCGUUCGAAACUGGUGUAAUGAUGUAUCCGCCUACAAUAAAAAUCAAUAGGAAUCAUCAAGAUUUCGACGUCGACGCUGAUUGGCCCUCAACGGAUUUUUGUAAAGAGAAUUCUCCAAACUUCCCCGAGAAUCUUGAGGCUAUAUAUCCGACGUUUAUGCCAUUUGAAAAUAAAGGAAUCAGGCUGAUGACUCUAUUGACGGAUAUGAUAGGAGUUCCGGCCUCCGUGGAGCAUGAGCUGCCUUGGCACCCCCCCACCUGCCCGCCGGAUAAGGAUAUCACACUAUUCACACAAAAGAAAGUCAAGCCUCAGUUCUCGAGCGAGGUGGCCGGCGUGGGCCCGCUGCGCCGCAAGCUGCACGAGUACGUCGCGGACGGAGACCUCGCCGCCGCGCAGCGCAUGCAGGACGCGGAGAUCGGACAGAGGAUAUACGCGGCCAUGCAGAAGAAACUAGCGCCGAAAUGGAUCCUGUACACGUUGUCAUCGCUGUACUGGCGCGUGCGAAGCAACAACAUAAACGCUUUACACUGCCUCCUCAACGCCGGCAGGACUGUCGAAAAUAAAUACAGAGAUAUAGUGUUGACUUCAGUAGCGUCGAUAUAUCUGGAGAUGGGGUACUUCGACGAGGCCUUCACCGUUGCCGAAGAAGCGUUCAGACUGAGUCUGUUUGAGCCAGCAACAAACUUUAUACUGGCAGAAUUGAAUAUGAUUAAUAAACAUCGGAAGACGCAUUUGAUUCACUUGAAGCAAGUUUUAAGAGUAGAACCCUCUUUUAUGGGAGGAAUCGUUCGGAAACUUUUGAUCGGAUGGGCUUGUAUACUAAAGCAAGUUAACACUGUGAACGAAGUGGAACUCGAGGAGGGUGAGGUUUGUUCUCGGGUCGAGACGGGAACGAACAUGGUCUGCGAAAAGGACGGCUCCAACUGUCAAAUGUCCAACGUUAAAUGCUUUAGUAGCCGUGAACGCGAGAGUGGGGGCGGCGCUAUGGUUAGAAUGUUAGAGCUAAAAGACGAAAACUCACAACGACCCGAUGUCGAACGCAUAGAGUCGGAUGUGUUCGAUCACGUGAUAAGGAACAUGCCCGCCGAGUCCUCCGAUAAGGUGGCCCAUUUAAAAAACUACGACGCCAUGCUGAGGACCAUGGACAAAUCAUUGAACGUCUGCGGGAAGGAUGGAUGUUAUUCUGAAAUCCAACUCGACAAUAUAUUACUAGAAGAAGAGGACUGUUCAAAUCAACAUUUGCAAUUGAGCUAUUGGUUGCACGUCAGUUUUAGACAGAUGCUAAGCGAAGCCGAUCUCGGGCUCGUGCAAGAGAUAACAGCGACUCCACCGGCCGGAAGAAAAGUUCCUGAUUGCAGAGCGCCCACUGUACAGGACUUCUUCAUAGACCGCAUGAUAACCGUGGACACGGCCGGUUGGGAACCGGUGUUCAGCCUAAUGCAUCAGCUCGCCGAGAUGUUCAACUUCUACGAUUAUACGACGCUCGGAUCCAAAAUCGCCAAAUACGUUGAAUCUGCAAUCGAAACAAAAGGACGCUAAAGAUAUAUCGUAUCUGGCUUUGUACUCUUCGCCUAAAAGUAAAAAUGAAGCGUUUUUGGUGGCCUUGUCUCAUACUUUACUGGUCGAGUACGACAGAGCGAUAUGGAUGUACCGGUACGCCCUCUCAUUCGACGACAAGUUCCUUCCGGCGAGCGCGUGUCUGCACGCCACCAUGUGCCUCAUGAUAUUCGGC
rnacentral:misc_RNA from 1 species